UCAGACGAUGCGUCAUGCAUAUCAAUAAGCGGAGGAAAAGAAACUAACAAGGAUUCCCCUAGUAACGGCGAGUGAAGCGGGAAGAGCUCAAAUUUGAAAUCUUAAGGGGUUUCCCUUUACGAAUUGUAGUUUAAAGAAGUGUUUUCUGUUGAGGUUUUGGUAAAAGUUCUUUGGAAUAGGACAUCAUAGAGGGUGAGAAUCCCGUAUUUGACCUUUACUUUCAACUUUGUGAUACACUUUCAAAGAGUCGGAUUGUUUGGGAAUGCAGUCCAAAAUGGGUGGUAAAUUUCAUCUAAAGCUAAAUAUUGGCGAGAGACCGAUAGCGAACAAGUACCGUGAGGGAAAGAUGAAAGAACUUUGAAAAGAGAGUUAAACAGUACGUGAAAUUGUCAAAAGGGAAGCGUUUGACACCAGUGUUGUUUUUCUGAAAAUCAAUUAAAGAACUGUUUAUGCUAAGCUGUUUAGACUUUAUCAGCUAUCUGUUUAGUUUUGAGCUUUUCUUUAAUGCACUUUUCAGUUAACAAGUCAACAUCAAUUUCUUUUGCUGUAAAAAAGCUUGAGGAAGGUGGCUUGAGAUUCGUCUUAAGUGUUUAUAGCCUCUUGCCUAUGCAGUCGGAGAGAUUGAGGUCUGCAGCGUAGAUCCUUCGGGGCUAAAUGCAUUUGUGCUAAGUUAUAGCAUUUCAUAGACAACUUGUUGACUAUGAUUUGUCUUGUAGCUUACUCGCUUAUGUUAUUUUACCUACGCUUAGGAUGUUGAAUCUGUGCGAGACUAC
rnacentral:rRNA from 1 species